GAGUUUGAUCGUGGCUCAGAUUGAACGCUGGCGGCAUGCCUUACACAUGCAAGUCGAGCGGCAGCGCGGGGGCAACCCUGGCGGCGAGCGGCGAACGGGUGAGUAAUGCAUCGGAACGUGUCCUCUUGUGGGGGAUAACCAGUCGAAAGACUGGCUAAUACCGCAUGAGAUCGAGAGAUGAAAGCAGGGGACCGCAAGGCCUUGCGCGAGAGGAGCGGCCGAUGCCGGAUUAGCUAGUUGGUGGGGUAACGGCCUACCAAGGCGACGAUCCGUAGCUGGUUUGAGAGAACGACCAGCCACACUGGGACUGAGACACGGCCCAGACUCCUACGGGAGGCAGCAGUGGGGAAUUUUGGACAAUGGGGGCAACCCUGAUCCAGCCAUGCCGCGUGUGUGAAGAAGGCC
rnacentral:rRNA from 1 species